UCAGGGGUAAACACACCACGGGGCAGAGAACCCGGCCAAAGCAACAUUUGGGUAAGCUUCCCCUUGGUUUGGGAGUUGACACCUCGGGAAACCUCCGUAGGGGAACCUGCGGAGGGAUCAUUACCGAGUUUACAACUCCCAAACCCAAUGUGAACGUUACCAAACUGUUGCCUCGGCGGGAUCUCUGCCCCGGGUGCGUCGCAGCCCCGGACCAAGGCGCCCGCCGGAGGACCAACCAAAACUCUUAUUGUAUACCCCCUCGCGGGUUUUUUUUAUAAUCUGAGCCUUCUCGGCGCCUCUCGUAGGCGUUUCGAAAAUGAAUCAAAACUUUCAACAACGGAUCUCUUGGUUCUGGCAUCGAUGAAGAACGCAGCGAAAUGCGAUAAGUAAUGUGAAUUGCAGAAUUCAGUGAAUCAUCGAAUCUUUGAACGCACAUUGCGCCCGCCAGUAUUCUGGCGGGCAUGCCUGUCCGAGCGUCAUUUCAACCCUCGAACCCCUCCGGGGGGUCGGCGUUGGGGAUCGGCCCUCCCUUAGCGGGUGGCCGUCUCCGAAAUACAGUGGCGGUCUCGCCGCAGCCUCUCCUGCGCAGUAGUUUGCACACUCGCAUCGGGAGCGCGGCGCGUCCACAGCCGUUAAACACCCAACUUCUGAAAUGUUGACCUCGGAUCAGGUAGGAAUACCCGCUGAACUUAAGCAUAUCAAUAGCGGAGGAAA
rnacentral:rRNA from 1 species